AAGUAGCUACAUUCUUUGCAAAAAUGCUCGAUCAUGAAUAUACUACUAAGGAAAUAUUUAGGAAAAAUUUCUUUAAGGACUGGAGAAAGGAAAUGACUAAUGAAGAGAAGAAUAUUAUCACCAACCUUAGCAAAUGUGAUUUUACCCAGAUGAGCCAGUAUUUCAAAGCCCAGACGGAAGCUCAGAAACAGAUGAGCAAGGAAGAGAAACUG